CCGGUGAUCCUGCCGACCUGACUGCUAUCGGAUUGAUACUAAGCCAUGCGAGUCAUUGUAGCAAUACAAGGCAGACGGCUCAGUAACGUGUAGUCAACCUACCCUAUGGACGGGGAUAACCUCGGGAAACUGAGAAUAAUACCCGAUAGAACAUUAUACCUGGAAUGGUUUAUGUUUCAAAUAAUUUAUUGCCGUAGGAUGGGACUGCGGCCUAUCAGUUUGUUGGUGAGGUAAUGGCCCACCAAGACUAUUACAGGUACGGGCUCUGAGAGGAGUAGCCUGGAGAUGGGUACUGAGACACGGACCCAGGCCCUAUGGGGCGCAGCAGGCGAGAAAACUUUGCAAUGUGCGAAAGCACGACAAGGUUAAUCCGAGUGGUUUCUGCUAAAGGAACCUUUUGCCAGUCCUAGAAACACUAGUGAAUAAGGGGUGGGCAAGUUCUGGUGUCAGCCGCCGCGGUAAAACCAGCACCUCAAGUGGUCAGGAUGAUUAUUGGGCCUAAAGCAUCCGUAGCCUGCUUUGCCAGUUUUCGGUUAAAUCCAUACGCUUAACGUAUGGGCUGCCGGAAAUACUACAAAGCUAGGGAGUGGGAGAGGUAGACGGUACUCGGGAGGAAGUGGUAAAAUGCUUUGAUCUCUCGAUGACCACCUGUGGCGAAGGCGGUCUACCAGAACACGUCCGACGGUGAGGGAUGAAAGCUGGGGGAGCAAACCGGAUUAGAUACCCGGGUAGUCCCAGCUGUAAACUAUGCAAACUCGGUGAUGCAUUGGCUUGAUGCCAAUGCAGUGCCGCAGGGAAGCCGUUAAGUUUGCCGCCUGGGAAGUACGUACGCAGGUAUGAAACUUAAAGGAAUUGGCGGGGGAGCACCACAAGGGGUGAAGCCUGCGGUUC
rnacentral:rRNA from 1 species